rnacentral:rRNA from 1 species
UACGUAGGGGGCUAGCGUUGUCCGGAAUCAUUGGGCGUAAAGAGCGUGUAGGCGGUCAGCACAAGUCAGUUGUGAAAUCUCCGGGCUUAACUCGGAAAGGUCAACUGAUACUGUGCGACUAGAGUGCGGAAGGGGCAACUGGAAUUCUCGGUGUAGCGGUGAAAUGCGUAGAUAUCGAGAGGAACACCUGCGGCGAAGGCGGGUUGCUGGGCCGACACUGACGCUGAUGCGCGAAAGCCAGGGGAGCGAACGGG